AGAGUUUGAUCCUGGCUCAGAUUGAACGCUGGCGGCAUGCUUUACACAUGCAAGUCGAGCGGCAGCGCGGGGGCAACCCUGGCGGCGAGCGGCGGACGGGUGAGUAAUACAUCGGAACGUGUCCCGUAGUGGGGGAUAGCCCGGCGAAAGCCGGAUUAAUACCGCAUAUGCUCUACGGAGGAAAGUGGGGGACUCGCAAGGGCCUCACGCUAUGGGAGCGGCCGAUGUCCGAUUAGCUUGUUGGCGGGGUAAUGGCCCACCAAGGCGACGAUCGGUAGCUGGUCUGAGAGGAUGAUCAGCCACACUGGGACUGAGACACGGCCCAGACUCCUACGGGAGGCAGCAGUGGGGAAUUUUGGACAAUGGGGGGAACCCUGAUCCAGCCAUGCCGCGUGCGGGAAGAAGGCCUUCGGGUUGUAAACCGCUUUUGGUCGGAAAGAAAAGGCGCACCCUAAUACGGGGCGUUCUUGACGGUACCGGCAGAAUAAGCACCGGCUAACUACGUG
rnacentral:rRNA from 1 species